CCUACGGGUGGCAGCAGUGAGGAAUAUUGGUCAAUGGACGAGAGUCUGAACCAGCCAAGUAGCGUGAAGGAUGACUGCCCUAUGGGUUGUAAACUUCUUUUAUAUGGGAAUAAAAUGUUCCACGUGUGGGUUUUUGUAUGUACCAUAUGAAUAAGGAUCGGCUAACUCCGUGCCAGCAGCCGCGGUAAUACGGAGGAUCCGAGCGUUAUCCGGAUUUAUUGGGUUUAAAGGGCGCGUAGGUGGAUUGUUAAGUCAGUUGUGAAAGUUUGCGGCUCAACCGUAAAAUUGCAGUUGAAACUGGCAGUCUUGAGUACAGUAGAGGUGGGCGGAAUUCGUGGUGUAGCGGUGAAAUGCUUAGAGAUCACGAAGAACUCCGAUUGCGAAGGCAGCUCACUGGACUGCAACUGACACUGAGGCUCGAAAGUGUGGGUAUCAAACAGGAUUAGAUACCCGUGUAGUC
rnacentral:rRNA from 1 species